CCAGGCUGGGGGCAGAGGUAAUAGGCUUCUUGUGGGUCCCCAUCCCUGCCUGUCUCUUGCCAGUGGUGGGGCCUUGGGCAGGCUGCUUCCCUCCUCCCUAAAGAAGUUCUGAGCUCAGACACACUGCUGGGAGUGGAGAAGCUUCCUUUGUAAACUGUAAAGUGCUGCUGGACUGGAAGGUAAGGGAAGAGCUUCCAACCAAUGAUCUGAUGACCUCAGCUGGGCAAGCAGAGAGGUCCCAGGGGACAGGCAGGUGUCUGGGCUGCAGCCUCUCUCUGUCAUGCCUGUCAGGCCAGUAGCCCCCUGGGGCGAGAGUGUGCAUCUGAGCCUGGUCCCCACCCUGGCCAGGAUAUAGGCUGUCAGUUUGGAUUUUGCAAACUGCAAAGGAUGUCCUCACGAGAUGGGUUAUUACUGUGACAAGUUGGGUCUGAUAGCUCUGGGAAGCAAAUCAGCAGCAAAUGAGCUGCCAGUCUCCCUACAGACAUCAGGCACAGGGUGGGAACAUGAUGUCAGCGGUGUCACUGGGACGCCUUCUCAUGGUGAGGGCCAGCACUCACAGCCCUUUCUUGGAGAGACCCAGAGACACAGGCCAGCCUGGACCAGCACCUCUGCCUGCAGGGAGGCCCCCUGCACAAGGUCACAGGGAUGACCAGCAAUGGCCCUGGCUUUGUGGCCCCUCCCAGAAAACAUGCUUGUAAGAAGCCUGGUUCUGUAGCAGCCCAGUUGGCAAUUCUGAGAGGGACAUGUGUCAGUGACAGGGAGCAUAGCAUCCCUUCCAGGUGCCCCAAGGGACUCCUGGGGAGCCAGCACCUGGAGCCUGCCUUGCCCUGUUCACUCUGGUCUGGCAUUCCAUCCAUACCUGUCAUAGGGCACCCAAGGGACAUCCCCUCCCAUUCACUCAUGUCCAAUCAGGGACAGGAAGCUCCCUGCUGCAGGGGCAGCUGGCCCACGUGCAGGAAGAGGAUGGAAUGCAACAGUGUCGCUAAUUGCUGAAAGGAAUAGAGAAGACCAGAAAUUGUAAAGAUGUGAACAAAUAGGAGACUGUAUUUUUUACUUAAAAAUGUUUAGGCAUAAAUAAUAGAAAUACAUGGAGAUACUAGACAAAGGCAGAGAUUAAAAUUAUAUGAUAAUAUACUGGUGUAAGACAUCGUCUAGAUGUGAAUGGUGAUUAUGAUGUAUUAACCCGUUUUCUGUUGCUAAAACACAAUGCUGCAGAUUGAGUGAGUUAUGAAGAAAAGAGGUUUAUUUUGACUCACUGCUCUGAAACUUCAUCUCCCCCAGGGCCCCCAGUACUGGGACUUGAACUCAAGACCUUAAAAUAUUCAUAUCCCCAGCCUCUUUUUAAAAUUUGUGUUUUGAGACAGGGUCUUGCUAAAUUGCCCAGGCUGGCCUGGACCUUGAGAUCCUCCUGCCUCAGCUGCCCAAGCAGCCAGGAUUAUAGGUGGGAGUGUUAGUUGCGGAGCAAGCUGAACCAAUGUUAGCUGCAGGGUGGGCUGAACACUCGACCCUCACCCUCACCCGUUUGGUUCCUUAUUGCUUGUUUGCCUCAAGUCUGAACACUUGACCCCACUCAAGACUGGGCACUCGACUCCACCUGUCUGGUGCAACAGAAACCCAAAUUUAGCCCCUGCCCCAUCUGCCUGAGGGCACAAGAUGACACCCUUCGCAACUACUGCAUGAUCCAGUCACUGUACGCCAACAAGGAAGCUUGCAGACCCAGAGACCCCGUUAGAUUUUGGCUAUAAAAACUCCCUCCUGCCGGGCCCCUCUCUCUUGCUCUCUCUUUCUUCUUUCACUUUCUCUCUCUCUCUUUGCUCUCUCCUUCUCUCUUUCCUGUCUCUCUCUUCCUUCCCUGUUAACCAGACACGGUUGCAAUAAAGAUCUCUUGGUCACUCCAAGUGUCA
rnacentral:lncRNA from 1 species